ACGCUCGACACCUACGGGGGCAGCAGUGGGGAAUAUUGCACAAUGGAGGAAACUCUGAUGCAGCGAUGCCGCGUGAGGGAAGAAGGUUUUCGGAUUGUAAACCUCUGUCUUUGGGGACGAUAAUGACGGUACCCAAGGAGGAAGCUCCGGCUAACUACGUGCCAGUAGCCGCGGUAAUCUGAGCGGGCUGGCAAGGC
rnacentral:rRNA from 1 species